rnacentral:tRNA from 1 species
CGGGGCGUGGCGCAGCCUGGUAGCGCGCUUGCUUUGGGAGCAAGAGGCCGGCGGUUCGAAUCCGCCCGCCCCGA